UCUCCGUUGGUGAACCAGCGGAGGGAUCAUUACCGAGUUUUGGCGUCCCUCGCGACCCAACUCUCUUUCCACCCUUUGUGAACCGUACCGUCGUUGUGCUAUGGGGAUGUGGCCCCACUAUACGAUGCUCGCUCUGGUUGCCUCCCCGGGGGUUUCGUCCCCUGGGGGUGGUAGGAUGCCAGUGCGGUCGUUGGGUUGGGGGGAGCGUCCCUAUGUAGCACUUCCAAACGCUUUUGUUUUCUAGAGGCUUUCGGGCCUGUUUCUGGUUUUUUGCAUGCUGAGUGGCAUUUUUGAGAAAACGACGUCAAAACUUUCAACAACGGAUCUCUUGGUUCUG
rnacentral:misc_RNA from 1 species